rnacentral:rRNA from 1 species
AACGAACGCUGGCGGCAGGCUUAACACAUGCAAGUCGAACGCCCCGCAAGGGGAGUGGCAGACGGGUGAGUAACGCGUGGGAAUCUACCCAACUCUACGGAAUAACUCAGGGAAACUUGUGCUAAUACCGUAUACGCCCUUCGGGGGAAAGAUUUAUCGGAGUUGGAUGAGCCCGCGUUGGAUUAGCUAGUUGGUGGGGUAAAGGCCUACCAAGGCGACGAUCCAUAGCUGGUCUGAGAGGAUGAUCAGCCACAUUGGGACUGAGACACGGCCCAAACUCCUACGGGAGGCAGCAGUGGGGAAUAUUGGACAAUGGGCGCAAGCCUGAUCCAGCCAUGCCGCGUGAGUGAUGAAGGCCCUAGGGUUGUAAAGCUCUUUCACCGGUGAAGAUAAUGACGGUAACCGGAGAAGAAGCCCCGGCUAACUUCGUGCCAGCCGCCGCAGUAA